GUUUGAUCCUGGCUCAGGACGAACGCUGGCGGCGUGCUUAACACAUGCAAGUCGAACGGUGAUGUCAGAGCUUGCUCUGGCGGAUCAGUGGCGAACGGGUGAGUAACACGUGAGUAACCUGCCCCCGACUCUGGGAUAACUGCUAGAAAUGGUAGCUAAUACCGGAUAUGACGACUGGCCGCAUGGUCUGGUCGUGGAAAGAAUUUCGGUUGGGGAUGGACUCGCGGCCUAUCAGGUUGUUGGUGAGGUAAUGGCUCACCAAGCCUACGACGGGUAGCCGGCCUGAGAGGGUGACCGGCCACACUGGGACUGAGACACGGCCCAGACUCCUACGGGAGGCAGCAGUGGGGAAUAUUGCACAAUGGGCGCAAGCCUGAUGCAGCAACGCCGCGUGAGGGAUGACGGCCUUCGGGUUGUAAACCUCUUUUAGUAGGGAAGAAGCGAAAG
rnacentral:rRNA from 1 species